rnacentral:rRNA from 1 species
GACGAACGCUGGCGGCGUGCCUAAUACAUGCAAGUAGAACGCUGAAGAGAGGAGCUUGCUCUUCUUGGAUGAGUUGCGAACGGGUGAGUAACGCGUAGGUAACCUGCCUGGUAGCGGGGGAUAACUAUUGGAAACGAUAGCUAAUACCGCAUAAAAUGGAUUAUCGCAUGAUAAUCAAUUGAAAGGUGCAAUUGCAUCACUACCAGAUGGACCUGCGUUGUAUUAGCUAGUUGGUGGGGUAACGGCUCACCAAGGCGACGAUACAUAGCCGACCUGAGAGGGUGAUCGGCCACACUGGGACUGAGACACGGCCCAGACUCCUACGGGAGGCAGCAGUAGGGAAUCUUCGGCAAUGGACGGAAGUCUGACCGAGCAACGCCGCGUGAGUGAAGAAGGUUUUCGGAUCGUAAAGCUCUGUUGUAAGAGAAGAACGAGUGUGAGAGUGGAAAGUUCA